UACAGAGGUCCCAAGCGUUGUUCGGAUUCAUUGGGCGUAAAGGGUGCGUAGGUGGCGCGCUAAGUCAGGUGUGAAAUUUCGGAGCUCAACUCCGAAACUGCAUUUGAUACUGGUGUGCUUGAGGACUGGAGAGGAGACUGGAAUUUACGGUGUAGCAGUGAAAUGCGUAGAGAUCGUAAGGAAGACCAGUGGCGAAGGCGGGUCUCUGGACAGUUCCUGACACUGAGGCACGAAGGCUAGGGGAGCAAACGGG
rnacentral:rRNA from 1 species